AGACUUCAAAUAAGGAUUUUCCGCCCUAUAUUACAACUGCCGGCGGGUUCUCCCGUUCGGCUAUGGCGAUAAACGGACUGUGAAAUAAGCCAUUCGGACCCGGGGGCGGUACCCGGCGCCUCCACCAUCUUUCCCCUGAAAGCGUCAAAAGCCGGCGCGGCAGGGUUCCUGGGGGCGAAACAGGAUCGACGGGCAUGGUUCCGCCGUCAUCGGGCCGUUUUAUAGUUGCCAACGACAACUAUGCUGAGGCACGUCUCGCUGCGUAAGCGGUGCGACAACCUCGAUUGAAGCCCUUGCCCUUAGCCGGGUAAGGCGGGGUUCGGGGGCACCUGGCAACAGAAGCCCCCACU
rnacentral:tmRNA from 1 species